rnacentral:lncRNA from 1 species
GAAUGGGGUCCUCAUUUAAUCCCUCUUCCUGCUGCUGGAGACUGCGUGCUCCUGGUCCGGCCCUACAUUAAGGGUUUUGACUGAGUACUGGACUGGAGGGGAUGGCACCGCGCUCCCCAGAGUAAACCAGAAUUGUUCGGCUGUGCACUGGCAUUGAUGCUGUGCCAAUUCUGGGGAUAUAAAGGGUUCACAUUUCCAAACCUGAUGUAAUAUCCCAUUUCAAACAAAGGCAAGAUUCUUGCAUCCUGGAGAGAGAUGUUCCAAGAGGCAGAUUUCCAGGUAAUGGAGAAUUGCUAUAAAAGCUCUUCUAUAAUGUAAUGUGAAGAAAAUAGCAUUUUAAGAAGACUCAUUUGUAGAAUAGCAUGUAGAAUUUACCAACUGCUAGCAGAUUGGCCAUCUAGAAGUCUGUGACAGCAAUCUACGAUAAAAGCCUG